GCCGUGAUCGCAUAACCCGGUAUUGCGCAACCCUGGAAAGGUUGUUUCCGCAAGGAUGUCCCGGUUCAAAUCCGGGUCACGGCG
rnacentral:tRNA from 1 species